rnacentral:rRNA from 2 species
GUGGAUCCUGUGAACUGCAGGACACAUGAACACCGACAAGUUGAACGCAUAUUGCACAUCGUACAACAGUACGAUGUACACAUUUUUGAGUGCC